GACAGAGGGUGCAAACGUUGUUCGGAAUCACUGGGCGUAAAGCGCGUGUAGGCGGCCAUGCAAGUCGGAUGUGAAAGCCCUCGGCUCAACCGGGGAAGUGCACUCGAAACUGCAAGGCUAGAGUCUCGGAGAGGAUCGUGGAAUUCUCGGUGUAGAGGUGAAAUUCGUAGAUAUCGAGAGGAACACCGGUGGCGAAGGCGGCGAUCUGGACGAUGACUGACGCUGAGACGCGAAAGCGUGGGGAGCAAACAGG
rnacentral:rRNA from 1 species